CCUACGGGUGGCAGCAGUGGGGAAUAUUGGACAAUGGGGGCAACCCUGAUCCAGCCAUGCCGCGUGUGUGAAGAAGGCCCUCUGGUUGUAAAGCACUUUCAGUGAGGAAGAACGCCUGGUGGUUAAUACCCAUCAGGAAAGACAUCACUCACAGAAGAAGCACCGGCUAACUCCGUGCCAGCAGCCGCGGUAAUACGGAGGGUGCGGGCGUUAAUCGGAAUUACUGGGCGUAAAGCGCGCGUAGGUGGCUUGAUAAGCCGGUUGUGAAAGCCCCGGGCUCAACCUGGGAACGGCAUCCGGAACUGGCAAGCUAGAGUGCGGGAGAUGAAGGUAGAAUUCGCGGUGUAGCGGUGAAAUGCGUAGAGAUCGGGAGGAAUACCAGUUGCGAAGGCGGCCUUCUGUACUGAAACUGACGCUGAGGUGCGAAAGCGUGGGUAGCAAACAGGAUUAGAUACCCUGGUAGUC
rnacentral:rRNA from 1 species